rnacentral:rRNA from 1 species
GCCCAACAGCAAGCCCCUCGAACCAAACCCAACAAACCCCCAUUAAUAACCCCUAACACCCUUUACCACCCCCAAACAAAUCUUUUUUCCCCCUUAGUA